UCCGGUUUAACACCGGCAGUCCCUCUAGAGAUCCACUUGCAUGGCAACUAAAGGCGAGGGUUGCGCUCGUUGCGGGACUUAACCCAACAUCUCACGACACGAGCUGACGACAGCCAUGCAGCACCUGUCUCUUGGUUCCCUUGCGGGCACUCCCUCAUCUCUGAAGGAUUCCAAGGAUGUCAAGACCAGGUAAGGUUCUGCGCGUUGCAUCGAAUUAAACCACAUGCUCCGCUGCUUGUGCGGGUCCCCGUCAAUUCCUUUGAGUUUUAGCCUUGCGGCCGUACUCCCCAGGCGGGGCACUUAAUGCGUUAGCGUCGGCACGGGAGGAGUCGACACCUCCCACACCUAGUGCCCAUCGUUUACGGCGUGGACUAC
rnacentral:misc_RNA from 1 species